CAAUGGGCGCAGCCUGAUGCAGCGACGCCGCGUGCGGGAUGACGGCCUUCUCAAANUAAACCGCNGAAANAUCGGGAGCAAGCCUUCGGGUGAGUGUCUCUUUCGAAUAAGCACCGGCUAACUACGUGCCAGCAGCCGCGGUAAUACGUAGGGUGCAAGCGUUAUCCGGAAUUAUUGGGCGUAAAGGGAGUGUAGGUGGCCAUGCAAGUCAGAAGUGAAAAUCCGGGGCUCAACCCCGGAACUGCUUUUGAAACUGUAAGGCUAGAGUGCAGGAGGGGUGAGUGGAAUUCCUAGUGUAGCGGUGAAAUGCGUAGAUAUUAGGAGGAACACCAGUGGCGAAGGCGGCUCACUGGACGGUAACUGACACUGAGGCUCGAAAGCGUGGGGAGCAAACAGGAUUAGAUACCCUGGUAGUCCAAGGGCGAAUUC
rnacentral:rRNA from 1 species